UACGGGGGGGCAAGCGUUGUCCGGAUUUAUUGGGCGUAAAGAGCUCGUAGGCGGUUCGGUAAGUCGGGUGUGAAACCUCCAGGCUCAACCUGGAGACGCCACCCGAUACUGCUGUGACUCGAGUCCGGUAGGGGAGCGUGGAAUUCCUGGUGUAGCGGUGAAAUGCGCAGAUAUCAGGAGGAACACCAGCGGCGAAGGCGGCGCUCUGGGCCGGAACUGACGCUGAGGAGCGAAAGCGUGGGUAGCAAACAGG
rnacentral:rRNA from 1 species